AUGACCCGGAAGCCCAAGCGGAAGCUGCCGGCCCCGCCGUCGAGGCGCGACUCUCCGCUGGAGCCCUACCAUGGCCACGCCGCCCCCUUCCCCGCUCAAUGCCUGGCCGUCCGCGACGCCCUCCUCGCCUUCCAUGGCUUCCCCGACGAGUUCGCGCCCUUCCGCCUCCUCCGCCUCGGCCUCUCGCCGGAGGACGAGAGCGACCAGCCGGCUCCGCGUCCGACCGUCCUCGACGGGCUCGUCACCACCCUCCUCUCCCAGAACACCACCGACGCCAUCUCCCGCCGCGCAUUCGCCUCCCUCAAGGCCGCCUUCCCCUCCUGGGACCAGGUGGUCGACGAGGAGGGGAUGGGGCUGGAGGAUGCCAUCCGGUGCGGGGGGCUGGCGGCGACGAAGGCAGCGAGGAUCCGGGCGAUGCUUAGGGGCGUGAGGGAGAAGAGGGGCGCCAUUUGCCUUGAGUACCUGCGGGAUCUGUCCGUGGAUGAGGUCAAGAGGGAGCUCUCGCAGUUCAAAGGGAUUGGGCCAAAGACGGUGGCAUGUGUCCUGAUGUUCUAUCUUCAAAAGGAUGACUUUCCAGUAGAUACUCAUGUACUCCGCAUUACAAAGGCUAUUGGUUGGGUUCCUCCAACAGCUACUAGGGAGAAAGCAUACAUUCAUCUGAAUAAUAAGAUUCCUGAUGAUCUGAAGUUUGACUUGAAUUGUCUAUUUGUUACUCAUGGGAAGCUUUGUCAAUUGUGUACGAUAAAGUUAGGAGUCGAGAAACCCAAGGAUGUCAAGGCUGUUUGUCCCUUAGCAAGCUACUGUUUUAUCAAAGAAGAAAUUCAGGAAUAG
rnacentral:rRNA from 1 species